AUUGCUUUAACUGAUAAUGCACUUUGAAAAGGUGAGCUGCUAUCGACUUGAAGUAUCCAAGUGUCAAAAUAGAAAACCGGGGGAAUGUAGAGGAGUUAUUUACUGUCAAUAGUGAUAUUUAUUUGCCGAGGAUUUGAUAUUAUCCAAAAAUCCUUGAUUUAACCUAAUGAGGAUGAUGAAUAAUCAGUUGGAUAAUGAUGAGGGGCAGAUGGUGAGUUUCGACUCAGCCACCCUGAGGAUCGCCAAGGAAAACGACGAUUCAGACAACAAAGACACGUAUGCUCGUGGAUCAUCAACCGAUGCACCCAGACCAUCAGCCACGAAUGUCGCAAGUAUUCCCUUUCGACAUGUGGACACCCAUUCGUUUUUUUCUGACAGAAAUGAAGUCGUCGAGAGAGCUGUCAAGGAAUGUCAGGAGACUCUGCUGACAGACCAGAAUGAUGAGGUCGUUGGCACCUGGUUGUUGACAGAGAUAAGCCUGUGGGAUACCGAGAAGGAGAGGAUUGUAAUAUUGACGAAGAAUUCAAUAUUAACAAUAAAAUACGACUUUAUAUCGCUGAAAGUUAUAGCUUUUCACAGAAUUCCUCUGGGGGAUGUCGACACCGUGGCCUAUGGCGAGCUGGAGUAUCCAGCUGCUUCAGUUGCUCCGCGACUAAAUGGAUUUGCUGAUGGAUUAUCUUCGGUGAUUCAGUGCGCGAUACGUCAGCAGUGGUCAUCGAUUACCGAAAGAUCUGAUAUUCAUUUUGAGCCAAGAAAGCGUAAUAUGAAUGGAGUGAGGAUAAUGUGGAACAAGGGGAAGCCCUUGUCAUUCGAAAAGAAGUGGAAUCCCUUUGGUAAACGUAUCCCCUGGCUCACAUUCGCCAAUCACCCUCUUUACUGGCAUAAAGGAUCAAAUGAAGAAAUAUCGAGAUUCGACGCAGACGCCCUGCACUCAGCCCUAACGACAAUUCUCUCCGACUCCUGUAAUUUCGUGAAUCAACCCCUCAUCGUGGAGAACUACCUGGGGCUCGGUGCAUUGAUCCACAACAGGAAUUCCCUGGGAUUCUUCAAAUUAAAAAUGUGCACUUUACAGCGUUUGACAUGUCUGGACACGACCGAUACCGAUCCCUCUGGGAGCAUUACUACAGGGAUUGUCAGGGGAUUAUUUUUAUCAUUGACAGCAGUGAUAAACUGAGACUGGUGGUGGCUAAAGAGGAGCUGGACAUGCUGCUACAGCAUCCUGAUGUGGCCAGCAGAAAAAUUCCAAUUCUCUUCUUAGCGAAUAAAAUGGAUCUGCCGGACUCUCUGACGACGGUGAAGCUCGUGGCAGGUCUGGGACUCGAC